rnacentral:lncRNA from 1 species
AUGGGCCGUCAUAGGACCUGGGUGAUCGUAGCAUCAUGUACUCUAAAAGAAGGACAAGAGCCCUUCUCCCUGCAGCCAGGCUGGCUCCACCUGUUUGGCACCACAAGGCUUCUCGGCCUGCAGCCCCUGGAACACACUCUGAAAAUGAACAAAUCUAUGGACUCUCUGGAUCAGAUAAAGGACUCAGAACACAACAGCCAUAAGAGCAACAUCAUAGCUGACAGAAGCAAUGAGAAUCAAGAAGGAAAAAAAGUCUCCAAAACUGAAGAUAAGGCUCCAGGUGAGCUGGUCCCUCACGCCAGCUUGGGUCCUCAUGGGAGAUGGUGCUGGUCUGGCCUCCACAUACCUGAUGUUUUCAUUCAGUGCAUAGAGCUCGUUGUUUUGCAAGCCGCCCCCUUUGAAAACAUUGAUCACAGCAGUCUGGACACUGCAGGGAAAUAAAAGUAACCCGAUUAGACAGUCUGCCUGCUGGGGCAAUUUCCACAAACAUCUCCAGGCUGAGUCACAAAGGGCCAGGAAGCCAGGAAACCCAUGGUGCAAACAUGGCUGCACUUCCUUUCACUGGAAUUCAUCAUUUCCUCCCAGGUGUCCCUGGAGAGGAAGGAAGGCUCAAGCUGAAAGCACUCAGAAGGAGCCCCCACAUUCUUGUAGGCC